rnacentral:rRNA from 1 species
CCUACGGGAGGCAGCAGUAGGGAAUCUUCCACAAUGGACGAAAGUCUGAUGGAGCAACGCCGCGUGAGUGAUGAAGGUUUUCGGAUCGUAAAACUCUGUUGUAAGGGAAGAACAAGUACGAGAGGGAAUGCUCGUACCUUGACGGUACCUUGCGAGAAAGCCACGGCUAACUACGUGCCAGCAGCCGCGGUAAUACGUAGGUGGCAAGCGUUGUCCGGAAUUAUUGGGCGUAAAGCGCGCGCAGGCGGCCUUUUAAGUCUGAUGUGAAAGCCCCCGGCUCAACCGGGGAGGGUCAUUGGAAACUGGAAGGCUUGAGUACAGAAGAGAAGAGUGGAAUUCCAUGUGUAGCGGUGAAAUGCGUAGAGAUGUGGAGGAACACCAGUGGCGAAGGCGACUCUUUGGUCUGUAACUGACGCUGAGGCGCGAAAGCGUGGGGAGCAAACAGGAUUAGAUACCCUGGUAGUCCACGCCGUAAACGAUGAGUGCUAGGUGUUGGGGGGUUUCCGCCCCUCAGUGCUGAAGCUAACGCAUUAAGCACUCCGCCUGGGGAGUACGGCCGCAAAGGCNGAACGUACAAAGAAGUAGUACGGCGUGAGAGAGCGACGACGACACGAGGGAGGAGG